rnacentral:rRNA from 1 species
UACGUAGGGUGCGAGCGUUGUCCGGAAUUACUGGGCGUAAAGAGCUCGUAGGUGGUUUGUCGCGUUGUUCGUGAAAACUCACAGCUCAACUGUGGGCGUGCGGGCGAUACGGGCAGACUAGAGUACUGCAGGGGAGACUGGAAUUCCUGGUGUAGCGGUGGAAUGCGCAGAUAUCAGGAGGAACACCGGUGGCGAAGGCGGGUCUCUGGGCAGUAACUGACGCUGGAGGAGCGAAAGCGUGGGGAGCAAACAGG